rnacentral:SRP_RNA from 1 species
UCAGAUCUCCGGUGCGACGGCAUCGUUCUGAACUCCCCCAGGGUAGGAAUACAGCAAGGGUAGGCGCGCUCUGUUGGGUGCACCGGAGGUCCCUUAA